AAUGCAAUUGUAAUGAGGACUUCUGAAGCUACUGCCUCCUUUCCUCAUCAAGAUUAUACUAAUGGAAUGUGCAGGAUGGAAAUCAGUGCUAUUAACGUGUGCCAGCAAGUUGUCUCACAGCAGGAAAAGAGUGCAGUUAUCCACAGCAACAUCUGUAUUUAUUUAUGUACACAAUAGAUGCUGAUCCACUGACCGAAUAUUUACAUGCUGAAAUACUGUACUGUAUGUUUACAUGUGUGGCUCUCCGCCACCACAUAUCUCAUUGCUCUUAAAGUGAUGGCGGUAGUUGUAAGAAAUACAAUUUCUGAAAUACCCUG